rnacentral:rRNA from 1 species
GAAUUCACUAGUGAUUCAGGCCUAACACAUGCAAGUCGAGCGGUAGAGAGAAGCUUGCUUCUCUUGAGAGCGGCGGACGGGUGAGUAAUGCCUAGGAAUCUGCCUGGUAGUGGGGGAUAACGUUCGGAAACGGACGCUAAUACCGCAUACGUCCUACGGGAGAAAGCAGGGGACCUUCGGGCCUUGCGCUAUCAGAUGAGCCUAGGUCGGAUUAGCUAGUUGGUGAGGUAAUGGCUCACCAAGGCUACGAUCCGUAACUGGUCUGAGAGGAUGAUCAGUCACACUGGAACUGAGACACGGUCCAGACUCCUACGGGAGGCAGCAGUGGGGAAUAUUGGACAAUGGGCGAAAGCCUGAUCCAGCCAUGCCGCGUGUGUGAAGGAGGUCUUCGGAUGUAAAUCAAAAGAAGUUGGGAGGAAGGGCAUUAACCUAAUACGUUAGUGUU